AAGUACCCAGAGGAAAAUAAAGAAACCUCGAUUCCGUAAGUAGCGGCGAGCGAAAGCGGAUCAGCCCAAACCGUCUCGACAGAGA
rnacentral:rRNA from 1 species